ACUACGGGAGGCAGCAGUGGGGAAUAUUGCACAAUGGGGGAAACCCUGAUGCAGCAACGCCGCGUGAAGGAAGAAGUAUUUCGGUUUGUAAACUCCUAUUAGCAGGGAAGAUAAUGACGGUAUCUAACUAAGAAGCACCGGCUAACUACGUGCCAGCAGCCGCGGUAAUACGUAGGGGGCAAGCGUUACCCGGAUUCACUGGGUGUAAAGGGAGCGUAGGCGGCGUUGCAAGUCAGAUGUGAAAGCCGAGGGCUUAACCACAGGACUGCUUUUGAAACUGUAAGUCUAGAUUGUGGGAGAGGCAGGUGGAAUUCCUGGUGUAGCGGUGAAAUGCGUAGAGAUUAGGAGGAACACCAGUGGCGAAGGCGGCUUGCUGGAAUGUAAAUGACGCUGAGGCUCGAAAGCGUGGGGAGCAAACAGGAUUAGAUACCCGAGUAGUC
rnacentral:rRNA from 1 species